CUAAAACCAGAAGUACAUUUAAUAUCUGCUUAAAUUUUACAGAUAUGUCUAUAUUUUACAUAUACAUUUCACAUAUGUUUAAUCGGCUCCCAAAACAAUAGGCAGAUCUUCUCCUUGGAAUUUCAGGGCAGUCCAGUUAAUAUAGCCUCUUGUCUCCCACCCUUUACUUGCUCCAUCAGGGUUCAAGGUUGGGAGGACAGAGUUUUCUGGAUGGUGCUAGAAUUCACCCAUACCUAUCAGCUGCACUUGGGAUUUGGUGACUCACGGUUCAUAUUUUGGUGGAAAGGGAGGGGGAUCAAAGCUUCACUAUGGGACCUCCUUGCUGCACAGGCUACAGAACAGUCAAUGCAUUCAAUGUGAGCUGCUGGCAUAAGUUAAGGCUAUGAGUUGUGGAAUUUAGAAAGAAAACAUUCCCUCCCUUUCCCAUUUGAGAGUUUAUGUCAACUGUACUUGACUCAACACCUUCAGCAGACAUCUAUCGUGCCUAUAGUGUGUGUAGAUAGUGAAGCCCAUAUUACCCACCUCCGCCCCAUAGCUGAUCCAGGUGGCUCAGCCCAAUCAGCAGCCCUGCAUAAUCUGUUUUACAGUCCAUUUGAGCGGCACACCCGGUUUUGAUGCAGCCCACCCACUGGAAUCUGCAGUCUUAAGAUGGGAUGAAUGAAUCUAUUUAUCCCUUUAAAAAUUACAUAUAAAGGUGGGUAAGUUAAAAUAGGGCUUCAAAAACCGAAGAAGAAAAUUGGCUGCUAGACAACAAAUAAAUAACACUCUGAAAAGAAACCUAAAAAUAAACAGCACUGAUACUUAAAUGUGUUGCUCUUUUUAGUCCAAAGUGCUUUCAGUAUUUUCUCUCUCCUGACUCUAGAGACAAAAGAACUUGACCUUGCAACUUGCUAUGCAUUAAUCUUCAUCUGCAGACACCAACAAAGGAAAAGCGAACUUAAUGCUAUGAUCAGAAACGUCUAUGAACAGACUUGCUUACAUCUCUUGAGAUAAGCAGUUCUUCCAGAACAGGAGAAUGGUGCCUCAAGUUUGGAGAGGUGCAGGUGGGCAACCCUAAUGCAGCUCUGAGAAUUUGGGAGGCAGACUACAAACACACCAGGACUCAGCAACACAUGUCCUUUUUAUGCAUUGCAUCUUGCUAUCUCAGGGGAAGUCAACAUGGUGGCCUCCAGAUGUUCUCCCAUCAGGCCCUGCCAGCAUGGCCACUGACCAGGGAUGGUGGGAGUUUUAGUCAGCAGCAUCUAAAGGCCACCACAUUGGCUACCCCUGUCCUGUCUGAUGCGACAGUGUUGUAUAUGAGUGUAUAUCUAUCUUUGAUCAUAGAUUUGGCUGAGGAAAUCUAUGAAGUAAAGUGAUUUGACUAGGAUUAGGGCUCAGAAAUUCACAGGGUAAGUUUCAGAGAGUCAUUAUUUCAAUGCCAAAAUGAAGGGAGAUGGCAACACACACACAAUAAUGGUAGGAACAUAUUGACUUCUGUGAUCAUUGCAGGAGUGAGAGCACAGUCCAUUGUCUAACCUCUUUUAAUCUGCUGCCUUGCUUCUGUGAUCAGUGGUUACUAACCACAAGGGUGCCAAGCAAUGCUGGUGUUUUUUUAUGUAGUGGACAUGAAUCCAUCUGACACUGAAAAGACGAGGUCAUAAAAGCAUUUCCAAAACAUGGCUGUAAAAUAUCAGCUCUGACUUGAGCUGCUAUUGAACAGAUUGGAGUCUGUUAUUUCUGAAGGAAAGUUCUUUUCAGGUACUAAUUGGCUUUAUUUUAGACACGUUUUGACAUGCAAAUUAUUCAGAGUUGCUGGAGCCAUAAAUUGUGUAGAGUUUAAUGAGACUGGCAAUCCUUCUCUUUGAUUCUGAAAGCCUCUCCCAUUUCAAACACUGGUAGACUUCUCUUUCUGUUCUGUAAUGCACAAAAGCUUUCAAUUCAAUGGACUAGCCAGAGCCAACUGUACAGCAAAGACUGGGCACUCCACACAUUCACAUGUGUGCACUGCAUAUCAUGCAGUGACAACUGUGUGAUGCUGGAAAGAAGGAUAUAAUUGAAAAGAAGUUCAUCCCAAAUAGCCAUGUUUACUAAACAGAACAAACAAUAUUCAUGUGAUUUGAACUGUUUUCCUUGCUGCUUGUUGAUCCAUUUAAAAAAUGUUUCUCUAAGACUAAAUCUUGGUGCUAGAAAUUUCCUAGAAAAUAAAAAUAAAAGCUUGCAUAUUCGUGGGCUCGCCAUACUUGGGACCUGGGAGCUUUAAGAAGCAAAUCAAAUAUGGAAAAACAACAACACUUCAAAUAGUGGGAUAUAAUGUUUGAGGCAUUUGAAAGGAUAAAAUAAUACUUGUUAAAUGCAAGCAUGCUUUUUUAACAUCAGGUCUAGUUUGGCCCCUGAACGUGAUCCUUUUCACAGGUUAUAUUGUCUUUUGCAUAACCUUUCCUUCAAGUAUUUGUAAUAUUAACCAGAACAAUUUAUAGCUUCAGGAACAUAUGGGAACCUAAAACUUUUCCCAUUCUCUCAGCUUGGCAUUGUAUUUCAUUUUCGCUGGCCAAUAAAUUGUCUUUUAAAUCUUGUGCCUUAUUGGGAAAAUGAUUGGUUUGAAAGCAGGGUGAUGAACACAACAGACAAGAACUUGGCCAAGCCAAGUUUCGAACAGUUUGCAGGCUAUAAUGUUUGGCGUAGAGAGGAGGUAAUUUGCGUAGACCAUGAAGUCAUAGUAACCAAGCCUUGAUUUUUUAUUACCCUGCUUCCUGUUAACAUAGAAUUCCAUUUUCCCCCUUCACUUUUAUAAGCAAUACGUUAAUAUGCACAUGUGCCAGCUUGCCUGGUUCUCCAAGGUAUUCAUUUUAUGCACUGAGCCUUACAAUCUUCUUAUGGGCUAGGCAAGUAUGGUCCUUAUAGUCCAUAGAGAGAAAAUAAUCCAUGAAACAUCUGGAGCGGCCUUGCCAAUGAGAACAUAUCGAUGGCUACCCAGCCAAAUGCUAGG